UACGUAGGUGGCAAGCGUUGUCCGGAUUUACUGGGCGUAAAGAGCGCGCAGGCGGUCGUUCAAGUCGCGUGUGAAAGCCCCCGGCUCAACUGGGGAGGGUCACGCGAUACUGAUCGACUCGAAGGCAGGAGAGGGUAGUGGAAUUCCCCGGUGUAGUGGUGAAAUGCGUAGAUAUCGGGAGGAACACCAGUGGCGAAGGCGACUACCUGGCCUGUUCUUGACGCUG
rnacentral:rRNA from 1 species